rnacentral:rRNA from 1 species
GUAGGGAAUAUUGCGCAAUGGGGGAAACCCUGACGCAGCGACGCCGCGUGAGUGAUGAAGGCCUUCGGGUCGUAAAGCUCUGUUGCAGGGGAAUAAAAAAAUGAAGGUACCCUGUGAGGAAGGAUCGGCUAACUUCGUGCCAGCAGCCGCGGUAAGACGAGGGAUCCUAGCGUUGCUCGGAAUCAUUGGGCGUAAAGAGGGCGUAGGUGGCUUGGUAAGUCAGGUGUGAAAGCCCAGGGCUCAACCCUGGAAGUGCAUUUGAUGCUGCUGAGCUUGAGUGUCGGAGAGGUUACCGGAAUACCUGGUGUAGUGGUGAAAUACGUAGAUAUCAGGUGGAACACCGGAGGCGAAGGCGGGUAACUGGACGAACACUGACACUGAGGCCCGAAAGCGUGGGGAUCAAACAGGAUUAGAUACCCGGGUAGUCC